GACGAACGCUGGCGGCGUGCUUAACACAUGCAAGUCGAACGGAAGGAGGCUGCUUUUGUCGGGUGCCCGAGGGGCAAGGGUGUGAGAAACCUAUGAGUAUCCUGCCCUUGACUUGGGGAUAACUUCAGGAGACUGGGGAUAAUACCUGAUAGGAGCUCGUGCAGCAGGGGGGGGGUUGGAAAGUUUCGGCGGUGAGGGGUGGAGUCCGGGGUUAACAGCUUGUGGGGGGGGUAGUGGCUUAGCAAGCCUUUGGCGGGUCGCCGGCCUGGGAGGGUGACCGCCCACCUUGCGACUGCGAUACGGCCCAGACUCCUACGGGAGGCAGCAGUGGGGAAUAUUGCACAAUGGGCGGAAGCCUGAUGCAGCAACGCCGCGUGCGGGAUGACGGCCUUCGGGUUGUAAACCGCUUUCGCCUGUGACGAAGCGUUAGUGACGGUAAUGGGUAAAGAAGCACCGGCUAACUACGUG
rnacentral:rRNA from 1 species